AACGAACGCUGGCGGCAUGCCUAACACAUGCAAGUCGAACGAGACCUUCGGGUCUAGUGGCGCACGGGUGCGUAACGCGUGGGAAUCUGCCCUUGGGUUCGGAAUAACAGUUAGAAAUGACUGCUAAUACCGGAUGAUGACUUCGGUCCAAAGAUUUAUCGCCCAGGGAUGAGCCCGCGUAGGAUUAGCUUGUUGGUAAGGUAAAAGCUCACCAAGGCGACGAUCCUUAGCUGGUCUGUGAGGAUGAUCAGCCACACUGGGACUGAGACACGGCCCAGACUCCUACGGGAGGCAGCAGUGGGGAAUAUUGGACAAUGGGCGAAAGCCUGAUCCAGCAAUGCCGCGUGAGUGAUGAAGGCCUUAGGGUUGUAAAGCUCUUUUACCCGGGAUGAUAAUGACAGUACCGGGAGAAUAAGCCCCGGCUAACUCCGUGCCAGCCGCCGCAGUAAGAC
rnacentral:rRNA from 1 species